rnacentral:rRNA from 1 species
AAGGGAGCGUAGGCGGCUGAUUAAGUCAGCGGUGAAAGGUAGCAGCUUAACUGUUUUACAUGCCGUUGAUACUGGUUAGCUUGAGUUGACAGAAGGCAGAUAGAAUUCCUGGUGUAGCGGUGAAAUGCUUAGAUACCAGGAGGAAUACCGAUUGCGAAGGCAGUCUGCUGCAGUCACACUGACGCUGAGGCUCGAAGGUGCGGGGAUCAAACAGGAUUAGAUACCCGAGU